AUGUAUAUCACUUGGCUAUAUAAUAUGUAUCAAAUAAAAAGUAUAUUAUGAAAAUGAGGAAAAAAAGAAUACCACAUUUUUUUACUUUUAGUUAUGAGGCUAACAACUCGAUCAAUAGGGUCUCUUUGACUUUUAGGUUUCUCCUUUAAGAUUGGUGUUGACCCAUGGAUUGAUUUUGAUGAUGCCAUAAUAUUUAUGUAAUAUUAAUACAAGCUUAAGGUUAUGCUUAAAGGGAAUUUUCUCAAUGCUCUAGGUUUGCAACCUUAAUCAAGAAGAAGCCCUCUUCAAAUUAACCCAAGAAGUUAACCAAGAUUUCUUAGGAUA
rnacentral:lncRNA from 1 species